UGCUAUUUUUUUUCAUUCUAUACUCCGUUUUCAGUUCGAAUUUAUAGUUUAAUGCUCUAUAGGGAAGUCCAGACAUUGUGCUAUAUAAUAACGAAAUAUGUAUUUGGCAACCCAAAUCUUUUUUGCAAAACUGCCACACAACCUGAAUGCCGUUCGUUUGAGAUCGCACAUCUGCAAGCAGCCUACGCUCGACCGCACUGCGCCCAGAGGUCUUCGAGGUCGUGCUUCGCGGCAACCUGCAAUUCCCGCUGCGCGCCUUCACCACUCCGCGCGGCGGCGGCCGUCUUCCCCGUCGGCGUGGUCCAGCCCUCCGUGGGGCACCGGAAGCUCGUGGGGAUUGACCAACUGUCAGUUUGUUGGGGCUUGAUCUGUCCCAAUGGGCGACGAACAUAUAGCUGACUGAAGGCGCGAGUAUGGCCUAUAUGGACUAAAGCACAACUGGACUAAAGGAUUUGUUCCUUUCCCUCGGCGGCAAUAUCCUGUAUGGCAGUACCUUUUCGCCUCCUUUUACCAGCCGUAUAAUUCAGUGAGUUGUUAGUAACUGUUUUGAUUGGUUGUUAGUAUUCCGGCACUGCCUUAUGUAUGGAUAUUCAUUGUUGAUAUGUGUUACAUGGUGUGAUCCCGAUCGACUCCAAUAGGGGCACCCAGGCACCGCACCCAGGCUCAUGCAAAUGCUCAAAACAGCCUGGUAACGCCACCACUUGUUGAUCAAAACGUUGUCUUUCUGAGUACUGAUUAGGAUUACAUGCAACCUUCUUGCUGGAAAUACGCUUCUGAAAAGAGAUGCUAAACUGGCCUGAUAAGAUUGGCAUUAGGCUUUUGCCGUAGGAUCCUGGAACUCUGGAUUCUAGGAACAGCACCUACCAGGUUACCUGAUGUAAUCCGUAUCCUUGCAUGAGGUCUGGAGUACGUGGUUUUUCAAUUUCUCUUGGACAGUUUUAGUCGAGUUAGGUGUGUUCAAGGAUUAGCUUUGGUUUUCCCAUUUUACUCUCUAAGAAAGGUAACUGAAAUUUUGUUUCUGCUCAAUUUCAUUAGGUUGCAAGAAAAUGACUGGUUGAAAUUGCUUUCCUAAACAAAGUAAUAGAUGUACAAUAUUGAUCAAACAAAUGGGCAACAAGUCAACAACGACCCAGUAGAGAUUUUAUUGUGCUGAAUAGGGCCAAGUAAAUUAUCAAACCAUUGUUGGUAAGAGGAUAAUUUACUAUGAUUCAGUUGGCAAAGAGGCUCUGAUCUGCAGUUUAAAUGACGAAGAAAUACUGGAACAUGGGGAAGAGAAGCAUGUUUCACAAAAGAAGAAGAUCCGCUAAUAUGGUAAUAAUACAUCCCAGUUAAAUAGAUUGGUUUUUCUGUAUUACGUGCUCUUCUGUCGUGAGCUGCAAUUGAUUACCACAACAUGCUAUGUUUUCAUCCGUUCAAGUCUGAAGAAUGGGUACUAUCUAUCAGUCUAUAUCUUUGAAUUUUUUUCUAAUAUAUAAGUUAUAACGCUGCUAUACUGCCAAUUUCUUACAUGCUCAUAUGUAUGUUGUAUGGCGUUUAAUUUCUUUUGGUGGUCCUUUCCCUCUUUGAAUUGAAUGCCAACAUAGCAGAACAUGUACUGCAUAAGGUUCAGCAGGCUGGGUCUAACAAGGUAAAUCAUUAUUUUCUAAAGACUCAUGCGGAAGUUUGCAGGAUUAUGCACACACAUUGUUUUGUUUCGUUGACCAUAGAACAUGAUUUGCUCUUUUUUUUCUCUCCUAUGCCUAAGGCUUUGAGCUCCUUCGAAAACAUUAUUAUAAUGAAAAGGAUGAGAAGUGAGUCCUUUAGACAUGGAACGCACAUAAGUUCUUUGAAGAUCAUUUUAUUUGGGAUGUCAAUAACGGUUCUACCAAUUUGCAUCAAUUGUUUAUAUGCUAUACAAACCAUCACUUGCCCCCAGGGAAGCUUUGCUGAUUUUCCAUCACAUUUAGGAAUCUUGCUAUACAAUCUAUGACUUACUGUUGUAUCGACACUCUAUUGUCAUUAAUUUGAUGCACGGAAUUUGUGAAUAUAUAAAUAUUCUGGCUGAA